rnacentral:lncRNA from 1 species
CCAGAUAACAAUCAACAACAUAGACAUUUCUGAUCUAAUUAUACCUGAAAAGAAACAAAGAAAAAGGAGGAGUGAGUAAUGGGGAUUACUCAGCUAGGAUGGACCUUAAGGUGACUCUCAACACCAUCAUAAUAUACAUGAAUAUUUAUAAAAAAGUUUAAUCUUAAAACAAACCCAAGCAAAAAGCAGAAAAGCAGAAAAGGUAAAAUCUAGAAAACUAAGCAAGCAACACACAGGAGUGUUCCCUACAAGCCACUACUAAACAGCAGGCCUGAUCGAAAUCAGUCGGUGAGUACGGUCACACAGAUGCUCAGCCUUCCCAGCAAGGCAUUCCCAGUCACACCGGACUGUCACACAGAUGCUCAGCCUUCCCGGCAAGGCAUUCCCAGUCACACCAGACUGUUUCACAGACAACGUAUCCAGCAGUCACGUAGAUAGGCUGAGGUCACACAUAUGGCUUGAUGGAUCAUUAAUCCAACAAGUGAUGGCUGCUGUACGGUCUAAAGGCGCAACCCAGCCAGCAAAAAACACUGACAAACCACACAAGGAUAAGCUGGGGACCUAACAGUUCUAUCAUGCCACACACUCAUGUCCACCAACAACAUUUCUUUUUAAUAAAAGCCUUUCCGUUUAUAAAUACAUGUUUGACCGAUUCCAAGUUGUAACAAAAAGGACACUAAUCAAAUUAACAAACAAUCAGUCCAUAUUUUAGGGUUUUAUAGUUUUAAGUCUAGUUCAAGUCAUUGCAUUCCAUUCCAGCAAAAACCAUCAACCAUCAACAAACAAGCAACAGAGAUCCACAUCCAAACAAUUCUAUAAAACCCUAAAAAGCAGAUCUAAGCUUCAGUUUAAGAAAAAACUAACUACAAAUUUACAUGAAUGAAGGAGAGGGUGAAGCAACAAGUCCUCACAAAUGCCUUUCUAGAAGAGGAUACAUUUUUUCCUCCUCUUUGGGCAGAUCUGACACCCAACAUGUAAACGGUGAUAACUCCUGGCAGUGAUCUCCGAUAUUAAAAAACUCGGUCUCCUUAGAAAGAUGACUCUCGGGGAUUCCAUUUAAUAGGUAUAUCGUCACAUGGAUCCUCACGUUUUUCCGGGAAAUCAUCCUGCAAGAAGGCGGCGGCUAGGUAUUUAGAGAGGAGAAAAGAGAAGCUGAUGAAGGAGGAGAGAGAAGUGGCCAAGGGAGAGAGUAAGAGAAAGAGAGUGACGGUGAGAGAAAGAGAGAGGAUGGCGUGGCUGAGAGAGGGAGAAGAGAAGAGAAAAAU